rnacentral:rRNA from 1 species
UGCAAGUCGAGCGGUAACAGAAAGUAGCUUGCUACUUUGCUGACGAGCGGCGGACGGGUGAGUAAUGCUUGGGAACAUGCCUUGAGGUGGGGGACAACAGUUGGAAACGACUGCUAAUACCGCAUAAUGUCUACGGACCAAAGGGGGCUUCGGCUCUCGCCUUUAGAUUGGCCCAAGUGGGAUUAGCUAGUUGGUGAGGUAAUGGCUCACCAAGGCGACGAUCCCUAGCUGGUUUGAGAGGAUGAUCAGCCACACUGGGACUGAGACACGGCCCAGACUCCUACGGGAGGCAGCAGUGGGGAAUAUUGCACAAUGGGCGCAAGCCUGAUGCAGCCAUGCCGCGUGUGUGAAGAAGGCCUUCGGGUUGUAAAGCACUUUCAGUCAGGAGGAAAGGUUAGUAGUUAAUACCUGCUAGCUGUGACGUUACUGACAGAAGAAGCACCGGCUAACUCCGUGCCAGCAGCCGCGGUAAUACGGAGGGUGCGAGCGUUAAUCGGAAUUACUGGGCGUAAAGCGUACGCAGGCGGUUUGUUAAGCGAGAUGUGAAAGCCCCGGGCUCAACCUGGGAACUGCAUUUCGAACUGGCAAACUANANUGUGAUAGAGGGNGGGGGG